CGAAAGCCUGACGGAGCAACGCCGCGUGAGGGAUGAAGGCCUCUGGGCUGUAAACCUCUUUUCUCAAGGAAGAAGAUCUGACGGUACUUGAGGAGUAAGCCACGGCUAAUUCCGUGCCAGCAGCCGCGGUAAUACGGGAGUGGCAAGCGUUAUCCGGAAUUAUUGGGCGUAAAGCGUCCGCAGGCGGCCUUGUAAGUCUGCCGUUAAAGCGUGGAGCUCAACUCCAUUUCAGCGAUGGAAACUACAAGGCUUGAGUGUGGUAGGGGCAGAGGGAAUUCCCGGUGGAGCGGUGAAAUGCGUAGAUAUCGGGGAGAACACCAGUGGCGAAGGCGCUCUGCUGGGCCAUAACUGACGCUCAUGGACGAAAGCCAGGGGAGCG
rnacentral:rRNA from 1 species